CCAGGCCCGAGUGCCGCCGUCACCACCAGCGCCCGACUCCGAGCUCCUCCUCCCGUGCGCCUCCUCCCUGGCCUCCCUCGCGCGUCGUCCGGCGACCGGCGCCGCCGCCGCCGACCACCCAGGUCACGCCGCCGCUUCCAUGCCUUUUCUCUCUCUAAUCUUCUUGUCUCUCCUCUCCAGGAGCUCAGCGCCAGCGCCAUGGAUGUCCAGUCCUCGAGCUCUCCUCGGAGGUUCGAACGCCGCCACGGGACCUCCACCAGCCAGAUCCGGCGCCUACCUCCCGGAUCCGCGCUCCCUCCACCUCCUCUACCCGAUCCGGCGCCGCCGAACCCGCCAUGACCUCCACCAUGGAGUUCCUAUAGCUCGUCCCCUGCCUCCUCGUCCUGUGCUAGAGGGAGACGCCCCUCCAGCGCAUCCAGGACAAGGCCCACCACCAGCCGGUCGUUGUUGCACUCGCCGGCGACCUCACCCUCCCCUCUGCACUGCCCUCCACCUCAACUAAUGCUUCUCAUCAUCAGGGAUAGAUUUAGCUGGUCAUAGCUUGUGGAUGUUCUCUGUUAAUUUUUGCACACAAGGUGUUUGUGUGUUUGUCCAAGCCAAUGUUCAUGAGCUUUAUCUUUUCUAUAAAUGACAUGGCUGAGAAAGUCCCUUCAAUGAAAGGAGGAGGAGUAUAGUCUUGGCCAUGGCUGGGAAGGAAGGAUAACAUGCCUUCAUGCUGGACAGAGGAGGAGAAGAAGGGGGGCACGUCGAAGGUGCCGGUGGAGCGCGCCGUCGAGAUCGUUGAUGACAGCGACACGGGCGAGGCCGGGGAGGAGGUCAUGGUUGAUGCUUUACUGCCUGAAUAUGUUGACCGGGAACAAGAGGGUAAGGUGGAUGUGAGGGCGGAGGCGCAUGCCAUGGUGCAGGAUGUUGUGGAAGCCUAAUUAUUUGAGGAAGUGACAGCCACUGGGAGCAUGGAUCGACAGACUAGACAGCAGACCAAGUCCAUUGAUCGGCUGAUUCAACAACGAAGGAAGAGGCAGAAGGUUAUAAAAACGAGCUUGGGGAUUUACUGACCUGAAUCUUAAACAGGGCCGCCCUGCUGGUGGACUCAAGCUCCAGGUUUGCUCCUAGCACGUCUUAAUUAAUUACAUUGGCUCUUGACAAAAUGUCUAGCAUCAUGGAUAAUGAAUUCAUUCUGUGAUGCCACAUAGAUAUGCAAAGUCAUAGUCCUGCAUGUAUGGACAUCUACUGAUACAUACAAGCCGAUCGACGGGCACACACAUUAGUAAGUUCUGCUACUAGCCUAAUCAAGAGCCUUUUAUACAACCCCGCAAAAAAAGAAGCCUUUUAUACAGCCUUGCAGAUUAAAAAUGAAUUGAAUUAUGAGCAUCUGACAACUACGAUCAAUUUCCUGGUUAUACUUCCUGAAAUAAAGGUGGCCGACCAAAUGAAAGGAUGGAUGCUUUCCUUUAUGUGAGAUUAUAUACAUUAUCUUACUUGAUCUGCAAUGUUUCUUUGGAAAUUUUUUUGAAAGACACAUGACACAUAGUUUGCUGGAUAGGUCUAAGAUAAAUAUUUCAGUUAUAGGAGGAUAUUUUUAAAUGGGUAAUACUAUUACCGCCAUCUGCUUGGCCUGUUGUGCUUUCGUUAGAGCUUUCAUAUUUCAACACAAAAAAAUAACAAUGCAAGUUGGGACCAGAAUAGCACACACAUCCUCAAAGGAAACAUCAGUUGGGAGUGCUCAAGUAUUCAGUUUCUUGGAUGAUGUAUUAUGUUCUCGCUUAUCAUGUACUCCCUUUGUAAACAAAUAUAAGACCUUUUAUAUAGAUAACUAAAGUAGUGAUCUAACAGGUCCUAUAUUUGUUAGAGGGAGUAUGUUUCUAGAUAUCCGUCAACUCCAAUGUUUCAUUUAUCUACUCUCUGAAUAUGAAGAAGAUAGGCUUGCAAAGUAGCUUUUUAUGUGAAUAAUGUGACAAACAUUUAUGUCUUAUAACUGCAAACAUUUUUUUGUUUAGUCCGUCACCGAGCAAAUGUUUGGGAGUUGGAAAUUAUUUGGAUACACAUGAUCUUAGCAAAGAAAGAUUCAAACAUACUACAACCAAAGGACCUCCUUCACUCUCUGUGCAACUACAGAAAUUAUCCUUAUGAGCAGCACCCUAGGUUUAGUUGUGGGUUCUAACAUAUUAGAGAUGUGGUUAGAAUACCUACUGCUCUGAACAAUUAAGUGGUUUGUAUAAACCACCGAUCCCCUCGUGCAGUGUACAAUGUGAUAUGGAUCAUCAUAGGAUCAAACUUAAUACAGGAAGUACACACUUAAUUGUUUCUGAACUAUACUACUUUUUAUGUUCAUUCUCCUGUCCUUUUAAAUCUCUAAUUUAGUUGCAAGUAUUUUAUUUGUUAUCGUUUGGCUUCUUAAGAACAAAUCUAGCAAGUUUGGCUUCUUAAGAACAAAUCUAGCAAGCAACGACUCGACUGAUGAAAGAGAUGUUGACCAUCUUUGCUGCAGUGAGGUACCUUCUUGAUCAUGUUACUAAUCUGUAUCUACAUUAUUCAGAUGUGAAACUCAUGCUUCUUGAAACAUCUGCAACACAUAUGUGCACUCUGAAAUGGUAAAAUAUUUGCAUUCUAUAGUACUUCAAGUUUGUGUAGCAUCCCCAUAUUUCCUGCGACCCAGUUCCUUGAACUGGCUAACCCUUAUUGAUGUCAUAUGUCCUGAACUGACUCUCAUGACCAAGUUCCUCAACACGUCCGCCCCUCACAGGCAUGUUGUGCAGUGGCUCAAUUCAUCGCAUUAUGAUUGAACACAUUUGGACACAUUAGGAUUAGGUGAACACUGAACACUGCCAACAUCGGUGAGGGUGGUCAGGAAGAAAAGCCAAAACCACCAGACGAAGGGGCGCUGGUCUCUGGUUCUUUGCGAAGGCCACCGCAGCUCAUCUCCAAGACCUCUGCUGUCGUGUGUCCCCCAAGUUCUUCACCGAAUCUCCUCGCCCGCUGGCUGCUGCUCUUCUUCUCCCUCGAACACAUCUCUGCUUCUGAUCCUCUGCUGCCGCCCCUAACCUGCUGCUUCUGCUCUCUGAUGCUGCCCUCGACUGCUGUACCGCUCCUUCUCCAACGAACUGUUGUUCCUAAUCUUCUCUGAACCCAAACUGUUGCUGCUCCGCUUCCUCUCUGAACCUCAGUCUGCUGCUGCUUCUCUGAUUCAGAGUAAACCAAUAAGCAGGAAUUCUAGGUCGUUUUUCCUUUGGUAACAGUUAUUGUUAGUUCUAAACAAUUUUUCAGGGCCACGAUUAGGCUUCCAAGGGUUCAGAAAAUGAUGAAGAAGCCUUUUAUAUCACACACUAUAUAACAUCAUGGAAUCACAACCUUAUAACAACUAAUUUAAGAGGCUAUGUUCUGGUUUGCUGUAUCUCCACCAGUUUGGGUUGGUCUGAUAGCUAACCUAAACUGAAUAGGGAAUCAGGAGUACUUUAGUUGGUAUUGAAAGUGGUAUGUUUACUUUCAAGCUGAAAAUCUUUGCAAGUUUGGUCCUGGGAUAUUUAAUGCUCCCUUUUCUUAUUAUCUUCCAAUCAUACUAUACAUAUUUAGUUUUUUUUUUACUUUCUCUUGACAAGUGAACUGAAUUAUUCAUGGAGAAUCUGGUUAUGGUAAAUUUUAUUAUGGAGAUUCAUCCGAUGUAAUAGAAUAGCUUUAUUUGCUAAAAUCAAUACAUAACUAUAGUGUUGUAUGGUUACAACAUGUAGAGUUUUGCAAGUGAGAGUUACAGGAAGUCACUAUUGCAAGAUGGCAUUCAAUUAACACACGUACAAUCGACUGAUCACUGUAUCUUUUUUUGCUAAUUUAAUUUGAAAAAGCUAUUGCAAACAAUUUUUUCUUCUGAAAUCAUAUACUCUGUUUAUUUCUAAUGUGAUUUUGUUACUGUUUGUAUGGUAUUUCUCUGUCUAAAUUUUUUGUUACAUAAAUCAAUCUGCAUAUAUGUGUGCAGGCUGUGAAUCGACAAACAGCCCAGAAAAUAUGGCAUGCUACAUACCCUGUGAGUCUGUGACAGUACAUUAUCAGAAAUACUUAUAUUUUUGAUAAACGCAUCUCUCAUCCAUCAUGACAUAGAUGUGAUGCGUUGCAAGUGUUUUUUUUCGUUCUCUCGCGAUGCGUCGAGUACAUGAUGGAUGGUCUAAUCGUUCAGUGUGUCAUGUGUACUCAGUCACUUGUGUCAUCUUCAGAUUUUAGAAGUCAAAAUUCUAGCUUUAGCUCUAUAUUUAAGAAUUUUUCUACGGCAAAUGCAAGAAAAAUAAAGCGUCCUUCUGCUCUCAUUAUGAGGAAGUUCUGAAAAAUUGAGGCAUUUGUAUGAAUUUCUAUUCUUCAUUAUAAAUUAUCCUUUCAAGUUUAGAAAAUAAAACAUGAUAUACUCUGUAUGUCUCUGUUCUACACUACCACUACCAUUUUAUUGCUGCAAAACGCCAAUGAAAAAGUCAUUACUAUUUUCCACGUUUUUAUACAAUCAAGCUGAAAGAGCAAUAAAAUGAUCUGUUUUUGACAUCGCCUCAGAUCUUACCGAAAGGCAAUGUGCUUAUAAUGUACAUCUAGAUAACAAUAAUGUGUUUGGGAAUGAUUCAUUUGUCGACGGCCAGCCAUGUGGGGUGUGAGGGACGAUACUUAUAUCACUUAGUGGCCAAGGGAAUGACAUCACAAAAGUUUAUCUAACAUCCUAGGAGAAGAUGGACACAUGUUCCUAUAUUGCUUCUCUACAAUUGCUUUCACCAUUUGAUCAUCCAUGUAAUUUAUAGCAUCCAUGCAUAGCUUAUCCAUAUGCUGUUUGUAUUCACUUAUUCCUUUUGUUGACAUGGCUAGGAGGCUACUAUGAAUGUCACAUAGAUUGUAAUUUAACCUCCUUACAAAUAAUUAACGUUCAAACAUUCCAGUGGAGGAAUCUCAAGACUUAGGAAUGGUGCCCCGACAAUUGUGAGCGGCACAAAGGAAGGGCCGCCAUCACCAAGGAAGUACGCUGACAAUUGUGGACUCCAAAGAGGAACAAGCUCUAUAUUUAGUGCAUUAAGUUGCUAUUUUAAAUUCUGAGAGGUGUUGAAUUUUGUCGAUUUCUAAGACAUUAACUCGGAAGAAUUAUUAUUUUGCUUGAUGUAAACUCAGAUUAAUUUGUCAUGUCAUUUGAACCGAA